CACACAGCAAGGCAGUCAGAGGCCAGACAGGUAACACACACAGCAAGGUAG
rnacentral:lncRNA from 1 species